rnacentral:piRNA from 1 species
UGGAAAAAUCCUGCAUUGUAA